UUCUCUCGAGAUGGUUUUAUAACCACUCAGUUACCAAUGGAAUCAACUAUUAUAGAUUUCUGGCGAAUGGUUUAUGAAUACAAUUCAUUAACUAUAAUAUCAUUGGUGGAUCAGGAAUCAGACCAAAAGAUUGAUCCAUCCUUCUGGCCGACUACUGGAGGUAACUUUAAAUCCGGACCGUUUCUGAUUACCAUGACAGAGACGAAUGAACCUGAUAGCUUUUAUACUGAAAGCGUUUUAUCGCUGGAAAAAACAGAUGCUCCGGAUCCCAGUAUUAAAUCUACUAUUAACAUGUAUAAAGUACACGAAUGGCCUGUUGAUGUUGCUAUACCAGAUAAAAAAGGUUUAUUAGCACUGAUACGAGCUAUACAAAAACGAGAAGAAGAUGUUGGCCACCAUUCAAUUGUGGUUCAAGAUAUUGAUGGAUCGACGAAGAGUAACCUGUUCUGUACUAUAGUUAAUUGUAUAAAUAGACUAAAAGAAGAUAAAGUUCUGGAUGUUAUGUUAACUGUAAGAGACAUGCACGUCGUACAGCCUCAAUGUAUAUCUACAUUACCGGAAUACAGAUUCUGUUAUGAAAUGGCUAAAGAAUACGUAGAUACCCUAGGUGAAUAAUAAAUUUGUCACCAACAAGGCUUGUUCUCUUGCCAAAUAAUAUGUUUAUCUAAAGCUUUAAUUUUAAUGUUCUUUAUAGUGCUAUUUAUAUGGAAUACCAGUCGAAUUUCCAAAUGAAUUUUUGAUGCAUUUUGUGUUUUAAAUUGAUAGAAAGAACACCUCAACCCCUCUGAGUAUAAACAACUAUCUGUUAUAAAUGAAUGUUAUAAAUUUUGAAAUUUUGAAAUGAAUUUGGUAUUGUAUUUAGGAAGAAUUGUAAAAUAAUGUUCUUUAGUGUUGUUUAGUGCUAUUUAUACAAGAUUAUU